AUCGAACGCUGGCGGCAGGCCUAACACAUGCAAGUCGAACGAGUGGCGGACGGGUGAGUAAUGUCUGGGAAACUGCCUGAUGGAGGGGGAUAACUACUGGAAACGGUAGCUAAUACCGCAUACCAUCAGAUGUGCCCAGUUGGGAUUAGCUAGUCGGUGGGGUAACUGCUCACAUAGGCGACGAUCCCUAGCUGGUCUGAGAGGAUGACCAGCCACACGGGAACUGAGACACGGUCCAGACUCCUACGGGAGGCAGCAGGGGGGAAUAUUGCACAAUGGGCGAAAGCCUGAUGCAGCCAUGCCGCGUGUAUGAAGAAGGCCUUCGGGUUGUAAAGGACUUUCAGCGGGGAGGCGGUACCCGCAGAAGAAGCACCGGCUAACUCCGUGCCAGCAGCCGCGGUAAUAC
rnacentral:rRNA from 1 species